rnacentral:rRNA from 1 species
CCCUUAGAUGUUCUGGGCUGCACGCGUGUUACAAUCGGGAGUACAACAAGAUUGCAAAUCCUAGUGGAUGAGUGGUUCUUCGAAAUUUUCUGAAGACUGGGAUAGUUGAUUGAAAUUAUUCAACUCAAACGAGGAAUUCCUUGUAAUUGUAAUUCAUUAUAUUGUAAUGAAUACGUCCCUGCCCUUUGUACACACCGCCCGUCGCUCCUACCGAUUGAACGAUCCGGUGAAUUAUUUGGAGUAGCUCUGGAAGUUGCAGAACUCCCUAUGUCACGAAAUUUUGUAAACCUUAUCGUUUAGAGGAAGGAAAAGUCGUAACA